rnacentral:misc_RNA from 1 species
CGCAUCUUGCGCUCCUUGGUAUUCCGAGGAGCAUGCCUGUUUGAGUGUCAUUAAUUUCUCAACCUCACCAGCUUUUGUUGGUCCUGAGGCUUGGAUAUGGGGGUUUGCUGGCUUCUAACGAGGUCGGCUCCUCUGAAAUGCAUUAGCGGUGCCCUGGUGGAACCGACUAUCAGUGUGAUAAUUAUCUACGCUGUUAGGCGACCACGCUUUCAAGGGGUUGUGCUGCUUCUAACCGUCCGUUCUGGACAACGCAAUGACAAUUUUGACCUCAAAUCAGGUAGGACUACCCGCUGAACUUAA